rnacentral:rRNA from 1 species
GGGGAAUCUUCCGCAAUGGGCGAAAGCCUGACGGAGCAACGCCGCGUGAGUGAAGAAGGUCUUCGGAUCGUAAAGCUCUGUUGUCGGGGACGAAUGUUGAGAUCUAGAAUAUAGAUUUCAAAUGACGGUACCUGACGAGGAAGCCACGGCUAACUACGUGCCAGCAGCCGCGGUAAUACGUAGGUGGCGAGCGUUGUCCGGAAUUAUUGGGCGUAAAGGGAGCGCAGGCGGGAAGGUAAGUCUAUCUUAAAAGUGCGGGGCUCAACCCCGUGAGGGGAUAGAAACUAUCAUUCUUGAGUGCAGGAGAGGAAAGCGGAAUUCCUAGUGUAGCGGUGAAAUGCGUAGAUAUUAGGAGGAACACCAGUGGCGAAGGCGGCUUUCUGGACUGUAACUGACGCUGAGGCAUGAAAGCGUGGGGAGUAAAC